CUUCUUUCUGGAACAUACAAUAAAAUUAGAACGAUACAAAAAGAAGACUAGCAUGCACCAUACACAAGCAUGACAGGCACAAAUCGAAAAGUAGCUUAAAUUCUU